UUUCUGUCAGUUCCAGCUUCUGCCUCCCUUCUGAUCUGAGUUGCUGAGUUAUUAAGGUCUGAGCACGUCCUGCCCCUGAUCCUACUUGGAUUACAGCCGUGUUGUUUUUUUUCCUCUGUGUUUUCACAAAGGCUCAGUCUGCGCUGGUGGGAAUUAGUCCUCCUGUCUCAGUUGUGCCUUAGCUCAGUCCCAAGGAAAUGUGUUGCAGCAGGUUUAAUCUGACACACCAGCUGUUACUGAGCGCGGGAGAGUUUGAGGAAGGCGAUUCUUACCAGCAGGAGGAGACACAGUUCGGCUCCACCGUGCUAGGUGGAGCGGUAAGUCCAGAGGCUCACUAAUGGCAUCAGAGGGCUGAGACAUGACAGAUGAAAUGGCUAAGGAAGAGGACAUCGUCCGACAGGAAGGACAAAUGCCAAGUCCAGAGGUUUCAUUCAACACAGGCUCCACCGCUUACGGCUUCAGUGACCCUGGUCAAGCCUCUUCCCCUCCUUGGGCCUCCCCAUCUGUUAAAGGAGAGAGUUCAUUCACUCCCUUGACAAACAUUUACCGGGCUCCUUCUGGGUCGUAGGCACCUCUGACCAGAUGGACUUUUGGGUGUUUCAUGCUGGAAUCAUUCUGUGAAGUGUGUCUCUGAAACCUCAAAUGUGGUGAAUUUGGGGACAGGAACACAAUAAACUGUACUGUUUUAA